AAUGAACGUUGGCGGCGUGGAUUAGGCAUGCAAGUCGCGCGAGAAGUCAUUUAGCUUGCUAAAAGACGGACAGCGGCGGAAGGGAGAGUAACGCGUGGUUAUGUACCCUCGAGACCGGGAUAGUGUCGGGAAACUGGCAGUAAUACCGGAUAACAUCUUCGGAUCAAAUGGUGUGAUUCCGCUCGAGGAUCGGACCGCGUACUAUUAGCUAGUUGGAGGGGUAAUGGCCCACCAAGGCUUAGAUGGUUACCGGGUGUGAGAGCAUGGCCCGGCUCACUGGGACUGAGACACUGCCCAGACAUCUACGGAUUGCUGCAGUCGAGAAUCUUCGGCAAUGGACGAAAGUCUGACCGAGCGACGCCGCGUGCGGGAUGAAGGCCUUCGGGUUGUAAACCGCUGUCAGUUAGGAGGAAAUCCAUGAGGGUUCUCUCUCAUGGUUGACCGAUUUUCAGAGGAAGGACGGGCUAAGUUCGUGCCAGCCGCCGCGGUAAUAC
rnacentral:rRNA from 1 species